AGAGAGGGGGCCGAACCCAAAUGAAGAACAAUUGGAUUGGGGCAUUUUGCAAGACAGACGAACGAUCCAGCCUGUUCGGUGCUGUCAAUAGGUAUUGAGAGGCUAGGGUUUAUAAAUGCAUCGCUAACCACAAGAGAUCGAACGAGCCGCCGCUUCCGAGUUAGCUGUGGUUUCAUAGAAUCUUACCAGAGAGAUGGAUGCUAUGAAACCUCUUGCGAAACCGUUAGAGAAAAGAAGAUGACGACGACGACGAAGAUGAAGGAAGCGUCAUGAAUCGUGAAGAUGCAGUCCUUUCGUCAAGUCAGUGAUCAACCAAGAUAAUCUCGUCUCUUGGGUGAGCGUCCUUUUAAUCUUUUAUUACUAUGCUUUUGCACUUGAUUUGGAUUGCGUCACGAUCGGUUGAAGCGGGAGUUGAGGAAAACAAGAGAAAUUUUUUGAUCUUUCAUUUCAAUCACUGGUUGUUUGGGUCAAGCAAUGAACUUUGCUAAAAAAAUUAUCCAGCACUUUUUACAAUAAGCUUUAUGCACUCUUUAAAAAUGGCCCAAAACUGGAGGACGCUGAACAAUCCCCAACCAAAACCUUCGCCAGCCAUUCACAAAAUUUUUUUUUCGUUCCAAAGAAAAUUGUGUGAAUGGCUUGCGAAAGUUUGGGUUGGGGAUGAGGAGUGAUGCUGGUAACUGAAAUUCUCUUAAGGUUAUAUGCUGCAAACUCUCUUUCUUGAUCAACUAGCGAGUGAUGUCAAUACAGUAACUGUACUAAACCGGAGGAGGUUGAGCAAUUCUGUGAAUGGCUUGCAAAGGUUUUGAUUGGGGAUGAGGAGUGAUGCUAGUAACUGAAAUUCUCUUCAGGUUAUACACUGCGAACUCUCUUUCUUGAUCAACUAACGAGUGAUGUCAAUACAGUAAACCGUACUAAACCGGGGAAGGUUGAACAAUUCUGUGAAUGGCUUACAAAGGUUUUGGUUGGGGAUGAGGAGUGAUGCUAGUAACUGAAUUCUCUUCAGGUACUUUUGUUUUGCUGCAGACUACAUAGACAAGUGGAAGGAAAGAUUCAUACCAGGAAGGACUUUUAUGCUGCCUAUCAAUUGAAGUAUGAUCCACAGCAGAGCUAGAAGAAUAGAGGACACAGACUUUCAUACCAUAGUAAACCCAAAUAAACGUGCAUUUGAUUAUGUUAUCAAUAGCAUAUACAGACUCCGUAUCAUACAAUGGAGGAGAUCAUGCGUCUCCUUGUUUUUCAUGUUUAUUUUAUUAAGAAUUUUCUAAAAGACUUUUUCUGGAAGGCUGGAUAAACUAGCUUCUUGUUCGUUAUAGCAAAUGGAUGUUGAUAAUUUCUUGUGCUUAUCUGGAUGAUAUGAUGUCAGAACAGGUUCAUUGAGAAUUAGUAUUCCAGAUGGAGGAAUACAGAUUGCAGUAUAUCUUAGGAAUUUGGACCUUAAAGAGGAAAAGGAUUCUAGUCUCAGCUGAGUUUCCGGGGAAUCAUGUUUGCGACAUGAAUUGGAGGCAAGUUAAUGGAAGAGGUAAUAUUUGCUGGCUGAGUUCUGCAACGUUCACAUCCUAUAUCUACUUUUCUUAUUGUAUGAUAAAAUGAUGAAGAAUCACUGAUUAGUUUUUCAUGAUUCAUAAAGAAGAUUACAUGAAUAUGAUUUGAAAUUUAACCUGAUCAUGAUCUCCAAAAAAAAAUAUAUAUAACAUUCACAGAAUUGUACAGCCAAAACUAUUUUCCACUUAAAGUUGUUUUUCCAGAAGUCAUUUUUAAAGCAUUUUAUCUUUUUCCUCACAGCACAAGCAUCAGAUUUGUGUCAAAUGGACCCUAAGUAAAUUAAUAAAAUAACAAAACAGUUUUUAUCCAAAUCCAACAUUUUCUUUUCUUAUCACUGACUUUAUUGGUUAAAUGUUUUUCUCUAACUGUGUUUUCUUGGUAUUGAUCUUCUUCAUCUUUUUCUUUCCAGUUGUAUGUCAUUUCUCCAUCUUGGGGUCGAAUGGGUUAAGGUUAGGGUUAUGGAAUGUUUUCAUCAAUUGACUUCCCCCCCUCUUUUAACGAUAUAUUAUAUCUUAUUCUUGCUUAUAUUGCUACCAUAAUUGUAUAAUCUAUGUUGUGCCUUGUUCUGGUAGUCUUUACUUUGCUGUUCUCUAGUGGGCUUUAUAAAUUACAACUUGACAAAUUAGUUUGUUAUGUUUGGCAUUGUGAAUUUUCUUUCUUUGAUAUUCUUCCCUUGUGAAAUUAAUUAGAGUAAGCAUACAAGUAAAGUUCUCUUUGUGUAUAUUGGAUAAUCAAUUUCAUGCUUUUAAUGCUUAAUUACGUUGGUGGUUCAUUUAUAAAAAGUUUUUUUCAAUGAAAUUGCUUUGCUCAAGAAUGGAUUCAAACCUGAAGUGUUGAUUUCUUGUCACAAUCUUCUUUGGCAAAUAAUGAAUGUCCUUUUCAUUGUGAGAGAUGCAAUUGAAUUCCUUCAAGCUUAAUUGUGUUGAGAGCUUCUUUCUUUGGUAGUCUUUACGACAUAUUCGUGUUGAGGCAAAUGGUUUGAAAAGUAUUAUAUAGGAAGUAAGUCCUAGUGCUAUGUUUAGAACAAAAGAACAUCACUUGAGGAAGUCAUUUAGAAAACCACUCUUUGAUUCAUUAAGGAAUAGUCAAAAUUGUAUUUAAAUGAUAAAUUGACAUUUAGGAAAAUUUUAUAUGAAAGCGGACUAAUCAAUUUUGAAUUCCAUGAAAAUUGAUAGAAUUUAGAAUUCGUUGUUUUAAUAUUACUUGGAAUUCAUAGGAGGUAAACUUUUAUUAUCUUUCAAUAAUAUUUUCAUUUUCCCAUAGUCAAAGUAAGUGUGGAUUUUCUAAUAAAUUCAACAAAUAGUUAAUUUGUUCCAAAUAUAGCAUGAGUUUAUUAUUUAUUUCUUAGUGCAGAGUGUUCUUAAUUCUAUCCUUUAGCAUGCUGCCUAAGAAAUGAUACAAAAUUGAGAAUCAACGUACUUGUAUAAUAUUCUUUAUUUCCAAUGUUUUAUUUUCUUUCCCUUUCUCUAUAUUUAGUUCACCUUGCAAAGGCUACGAAUUUAUUAUUCCAUUGUGCACAUUUAUUUUUCACUUAACAUGAAAAGUUCAUCCUUUAGCUUCAGUGGGAUAUGAAAAUUGCUUUUCACUGUAAUACUGGAGUAAUUCCAUUAACUUAAGUGUGGUGUGAAAAUUGCUCCUCAUCAUAGUACUUGAAUAGUUUAUCUUCCUAAUGACAAUUUCUUUUUUGAUAUAUCUAAAUCAUAAAAUUAGCAGACCUCAGGAGACUUCAUUUCUUUUAUGCAAAUGUUGGGAGAGCAAGUGAUGCACUCAUCUCUGAAGGAAAUUUCAACGUAGAAUAUGAAGAUAGACUAAGCAGCUUACCAGAAGAGCUUCUCAAGCAUGCAUUGUCAAAAAGUGGAGAUACAUCUAUGUGUCUCUUCCUAAUUUUGUAUUUGAUUCCUUACAAUUUGCUGGUGCUGAAAGUAGACUUGAUUAUUUUGAGGAGUUCAUAUAACAAACGCUGUUGCAUCGUGAUGACAAAGACAUACCAACCAUCAAAUUCAAAUUAUGUAGAGGAAGAGCACACACCAUUUUAAAGACCAAAUGGAUUGAUUUUGCUUUGAAGCAUAAUGUUGAAGAUCUCGUCUUUGAAGCUCCUUUUUUUUAAUAAAGAUGGUUUGGUUCUUGUGUCUUUUCCUCCAGAACAUAGAAAAGAUCUCAUUUAUCUUCCCAGUCUUAGAUAAUUGCAUCUCGGAGGUGUCAUUUUCACUGAUGGGUGAUUUGACGUGGGAAUGAUUCUCAUCAUGUCCAGUUUUGGAAUCCGUGCAAUUGAGGAAUUGUGGUCUGUCUUUUUUAAAGGUUCUAAAUAUCUAUGCUCUCAGACGCAAAUAUCUUCAUAUAGACUCUUGUCGUUGGCUCAAGAACAUUGAGAUCGAUCUUCAUACCUGAAAUCUCAAAUCACUUAUAUUAAGAUGAAAUCUUGCACAAAACUAUCAUAUUAAGGACAGUCUUUCUAUUCAUUAUGCACAUAUUCAAGGAACAGUUUAUAGAAACAAAAUGAGUAUAGAUGUUCUUAGUUGCACUGUAUUUAAGUUGCUGACUGAACUCUGUAAUGAUGAUGUAGUAGCUGUGGAUAACUUGUCCUGGGAGGUAUAUGCUUUGUCCAUUUCUUCUUCUUAUUGAUUGUUCUUUCUUUUUUGCUAAUUACUUGAUAUUUUUAAUGCAGCCUCUAACCUUUUCUUUUAAAAAAAAUACAAGUAACCAAUGACAUUCCUUCAUGUUGCAGCUCCUUUUCUACAAGGCAAGUAAUUCAUUGAUAUAUGCAAAUGCAAUUACUUUUCAAAGCCUGAGCAAUGUAUAUCUGCCUGUCUGGCCAUCCAAGAAACAUAUACAGAUGAUCAUGGUCCUCCGUGGUAGAAUGCCAAAUGUACGUAGCACGUACUUUUUAAUGCUUUUGAGUUCCUAAACUCUGAUUCUCUUCAUAUCUAACUCAUAUUUAUUAGCCACUAUCAUUUGAGACAGCAGAUUUUUAAUUGUUAAAAUCUUUGUUUGCUAUAGUUAUUAUUAUUAUUAUUUUUCUUUUGUGAACUUUAUUAGAUGUGCAGGCACAAGAACAGUAUUUAUACAUGUCGACUUUUGAAUGGAAUUCAGAGAACCUUGAGACUGUCGGGAUGCCAAGCAUUGUGGAAUAUAUUUACACUAACAUGUUUGUUGGAUGUGAGAUCGAUCUUCUCCUGGUGAAAGUUUUCCUUUGAGAAUGCAAAAGCAUUAGUGAAGUUGACCAUCUCUACCUUUCAGAAUGGUACUGAAGCUGAUGAUGGAAAGAGGUCUAAGAUUAUUGAGAAGUUAUUGUCAUUUUCAAGAGCUUCAACAAAAACAAAAAUACUUUUCUUGUAAUUUAAAUUUAGUUUCGGAAAAGAGGUUAUGACAUUUGUGCUGCUUAUUUUCAACUAGCAAGGGGGUUCUCAUAUUUGUUAUUUGAGUUUCGUAUGUCUGCACUUAAGUUAACGAGGUGCCCUUGCUGAAAUUGGUUGAGAGAUUCUUGGGUAAAUUCUUUUCUUGGCAAUACAUAAAGUAAACAUUUCUGCUUA